rnacentral:tmRNA from 1 species
CGGACGGGGGUUCGAUUCCCCCCGCCUCCACUU